CAGGGGCACAGACCUGCUCAUCUGGAACAGCUGUGGACCUUACCUGCACAGAUCCUGAUGAUGUCAGACUGGUGGGAGGAGCCAGUCGCUGUAACGGUACAGUACAGAUCAAACAUCAUGGAGAAUGGAGAGACGUGGAAUAUGAUAAUUAUUUCUCUGACCAUUGGACCCUGAAGGCAGCAGAUGUCAUAUGUCGUCGACUGGACUGUGGAUCUGCUGUUUCUGUGAGAGGAUCUGGUUCAUCUGUUCCUCUGUGGAUCAUCAGCUCCACCUGUCUUCUCUCUACAUCUGCACUGACGGACUGUGUGAGAACAGUUCCUUACACCUCUGACUCCGCCCUGUUCCUCACCUGUUCAGACUCUGUCAGACUGGUCCAUGGUUCCAGUCGGUGUUCAGGCAGACUGGAGGUCCGCUCCA